UACGGGGGGAGCAAGCGUUGUUCGGAUUUACUGGGCGUAAAGGGUGCGUAGGCGGUCAGCACAAGUCAGUUGUGAAAUCUCCGGGCUUAACUCGGAAAGGUCAACUGAUACUGUGCGACUAGAGUGCGGAAGGGGCAACUGGAAUUCUCGGUGUAGCGGUGAAAUGCGUAGAUAUCGAGAGGAACACCUGCGGCGAAGGCGGGUUGCUGGGCCGACACUGACGCUGAGGCGCGAAAGCCAGGGGAGCGAACGGG
rnacentral:rRNA from 1 species